rnacentral:rRNA from 1 species
UACGGGGGGGGCAAGCGUUGUUCGGAAUUACUGGGCGUAAAGGGCUCGUAGGCGGCCAACUAAGCCGGUUGUGAAAUCCCCGGGCUCAACCUGGGAACUGCAUCCGGGACUGCAUUGCUAGAGUAUGGGAGAGGGAAGCGGAAUUUCUGGUGUAGCAGUGAAAUGCGUAGAUAUCAGAAGGAACAUCAGUGGCGAAGGCGGCUUCCUGGACCAAUACUGACGAUCAGGUGCGAAAGCGUGGGGAGCAAACAGG